UACGUAGGUCCCGAGCGUUGUCCGGAUUUAUUGGGCGUAAAGCGAGCGCAGGUGGUUUAUUAAGUCUGGUGUAAAAGGCAGUGGCUCAACCAUUGUAUGCAUUGGAAACUGGUAGACUUGAGUGCAGGAGAGGAGAGUGGAAUUCCAUGUGUAGCGGUGAAAUGCGUAGAUAUAUGGAGGAACACCGGUGGCGAAAGCGGCUCUCUGGCCUGUAAUUGACACUGAGGCUCGGAAGCGUGGGGAGCAAACAGG
rnacentral:rRNA from 1 species